GAGUGGCGAACUGGUGAGUAACACGUGGGAAACCUGCCCAGAAGCGGGGGAUAACACCUGGAAACAGAUGCUAAUACCGCAUAACAACUUGGACCGCAUGGUCCGAGCUUGAAAGAUGGCUUCGGCUAUCACUUUUGGAUGGUCCCGCGGCGUAUUAGCUAGAUGGUGGGGUAACGGCUCACCAUGGCAAUGAUACGUAGCCGACCUGAGAGGGUAAUCGGCCACAUUGGGACUGAGACACGGCCCAAACUCCUACGGGAGGCAGCAGUAGGGAAUCUUCCACAAUGGACGAAAGUCUGAUGGAGCAACGCCGCGUGAGUGAAGAAGGGUUUCGGCUCGUAAAACUCUGUUGUUAAAGAAGAACAUAUCUGAGAGUAACUGUUCAGGUAUUGACGGUAUUUAACCAGAAAGCCACGGCUAACUACGUGCCAGCAGCCGCGGUAAUACGUAGGUGGCAAGCGUUGUCCGGAUUUAUUGGGCGUAAAGCGAGCGCAGGCGGUUUUUUAAGUCUGAUGUGAAAGCCUUCGGCUCAACCGAAGAAGUGCAUCGGAAACUGGGAAACUUGAGUGCAGAAGAGGACAGUGGAACUCCAUGUGUAGCGGUGAAAUGCGUAGAUAUAUGGAAGAACACCAGUGGCGAAGGCGGCUGUCUGGUCUGUAACUGACGCUGAGGCUCGAAAGUAUGGGUAGCAAACAGGAUUAGAUACCCUGGUAGUCCAUACCGUAAACGAUGAAUGCUAAGUGUUGGAGGGUUUCCGCCCUUCAGUGCUGCAGCUAACGCAUUAAGCAUUCCGCCUGGGGAGUACGGCCGCAAGGCUGAAACUCAAAGGAAUUGACGGGGGCCCGCACAAGCGGUGGAGCAUGUGGUUUAAUUCGAAGCUACGCGAAGAACCUUACCAGGUCUUGACAUACUAUGCAAAUCUAAGAGAUUAGACGUUCCCUUCGGGGACAUGGAUACAGGUGGUGCAUGGUUGUCGUCAGCUCGUGUCGUGAGAUGUUGGGUUAAGUCCCGCAACGAGCGCAACCCUUAUUAUCAGUUGCCAGCAUUAAGUUGGGCACUCUGGUGAGACUGCCGGUGACAAACCGGAGGAAGGUGGGGAUGACGUCAAAUCAUCAUGCCCCUUAUGACCUGGGCUACACACGUGCUACAAUGGAUGGUACAACGAGUUGCGAACUCGCGAGAGUAAGCUAAUCUCUUAAAGCCAUUCUCAGUUCGGAUUGUAGGCUGCAACUCGCCUACAUGAAGUCGGAAUCGCUAGUAAUCGCGGAUCAGCAUGCCGCGGUGAAUACGUUCCCGGGCCUUGUACACACCGCCCGUCACACCAUGAGAGUUUGUAACACCCAAAGUCGG
rnacentral:rRNA from 1 species